AUUGCAGUAGAUCAACCCUUUCGAUUCCCUGCCACAUUCACAUUUGUUGUCAGAUCAUUUUCAGUAUUAGAUGGCAUAGGGAAGGGCCUUGAUCCUCUAUUUGACAUAAUUGAGAUUGCAAAACCCUAUGCACUGGAGUUGUUAAGAUUCCGUGAAGCUGGAGUUGAAGUUGCCUUGAAGGACUUCAGAAAGACAUGGGACAGACAGCCCCGUGCAUUCUAUAACUUAUUAGGGCAGGCAGAUA